UUAUAGUCAUCUCUUACCCACACUCACUCUCUCUCUCUCUCUCUCAGCCACACCCACAAACUCUUCCCACAAACCCCCAACGGCAAUCCCCACACACGAAACCCUCUGCAGACGAAACCCCCUGCAGACGAAACCCCCUCCUCUCUCCCUCUCCCAUGGAAACCACUUACUCAAGACUACCAUUCCAAACUUCCAUCCACCGCACACCACAAUCUUCACUUUAUCUACUAGGGUUUUUUUUUUUUCCUGACUUAAACGCAAAUUCUCUCAAUUUCCCAUCUCAACUCGCAACUCUCUCUCUCUCUAUCUGUAGUUCUGAUCCAUCGAUUCAUCUUCCUACCAAACGCGCAACGAAUUCAUAUCGGCGGCUGUAGAAGCAGUGACGGGUGGAGAGAUGAGUCGGCACACUUCCUUUGAAGAUCAGACGCCAUCUCUCACGGCUCACCUUUUCAGAAAGCGGUUGCACUUGUUGAUUUGGGGCUGACACAAGGAGACCCGGAUGCCCACGUCCCUGCACAAGGCUAUAAAUAUUCUCACAUAUUGUCUACUUCUAUUAGGUUUUUUUUUUUUUACUUAAACGUUGGUAUAAAUGUUAUUUGAUUAUUUACAUUGUGUGCUUCUC